CAAUCUCACUUAAAAAAUCAUUUACUUUAAAAACCUUUGUGGUCCCACAUUUUGAAAAUCUACAAUCUCAAAAGGCCCACCCAUAUGUAAGCAACUGGACUGAAAACUUCCCAUGUGUUUCUUGAAGAGUUUUUAGAAAAUAGAUCACUUUUCAAACCAAAUGCUUAGACGGUCACUAUUUUAGGAAGUGAAUAAUCGCUUGAGAAGUCAUGUAAGAGUUGUUGCUACUAUCUUCCCCUUUCUGGGAUUUAGGGGACUCCCACGUUUAUUCAAGUCUCCUUUGCGCCUGAAAGAACGGCCAGCCACGUUUCCAGUCAACUAAAGAUAAGCACAUAUUCUUUGUGUAAUAGUAAAACCAUGUUAUUUAAAGAGGAGAAUUCCCAAAGAGACUCAGAUAUGGGAGUCCUGGCCUCUGCAGCUCUGGUCCGUGCAGCUGCUCCAGUGAGCGGGACGUAGGAGAGAUAUAGCCACAGCCAUACUGAACCACUUUGAAGGCUUUAUUGCUUCAUCCGCUGUGAUCUCCCAGCCAUGUUCAUUUUUCUGUAAUAAAGCUGAACCUGGUAGGA